UAUUUAUAUAGUUUAAAAAAAAACAUUACACUUUCAUUGUAAAAUUAGAUUCUAUCUUAUAAAU
rnacentral:tRNA from 1 species